rnacentral:rRNA from 1 species
UUCCGGUUGAUCCCGCCGGACCCCACUGCUAUCGAGGUGGGACUAAGCCAUGCUAGUUGAGCGCACAGAACUAUGUCUGUGAGCGGCACACUGCUCAGUAACACGUAGCUAACCUACCCUUAGGACGUGGACAACCCCGAGAAAUUGGGGCUAAUCCGCGAUAGAUGUAUUGUCCUGGAAUGGUAUUACAUCUAAAGGUAUCCCAUACAUGUUUGGUAUACGCCUAAGGAUGGGGCUGCGGCCGAUCAGGCAGUUGGUGAGGUAAUGGCUCACCAAACCUUUGACCGGUACGGGCCAUGAGAGUGGUAGCCCGGAGAUGGACACUGAGACAAGGGUCCAGGCCCUACGGGGCGCAGCAGGCGCGAAACCUCCUCAAUGCACUUACGUGCGAAGGGGCUACCUCGAGUGCCACCUGAUGAAGGUGGCUUUUCCUAGGUCUAAAAAGCCUUGGGAAUAAGAGGGGGGCAAGACUGGUGUCAGCCGCCGCGGUAACACCAGCCCCUCGAGUGGUGGGGAUGAUUAUUGGGCCUAAAGCGUCCGUAGCCUGCCGUAUAAGUUUCCCGUUAAAUCCAGCGUCUCAAGCGUUGGACUGCGGGAAAUACUGUACGGCUAGAGAGUGGGAGAGGUCAGCG